rnacentral:rRNA from 1 species
GUGGGGAAUAUUGCACAAUGGGGGAAACCCUGAUGCAGCGACGCCGCGUGAAGGAAGAAGUAUCUCGGUAUGUAAACUUCUAUCAGCAGGGAAGAUAGUGACGGUACCUGACUAAGAAGCCCCGGCUAACUACGUGCCAGCAGCCGCGGUAAUACGUAGGGGGCAAGCGUUAUCCGGAUUUACUGGGUGUAAAGGGAGCGUAGACGGUGUGGCAAGUCUGAUGUGAAAGGCAUGGGCUCAACCUGUGGACUGCAUUGGAAACUGUCAUACUUGAGUGCCGGAGGGGUAAGCGGAAUUCCUAGUGUAGCGGUGAAAUGCGUAGAUAUUAGGAGGAACACCAGUGGCGAAGGCGGCUUACUGGACGGUAACUGACGUUGAGGCUCGAAAGCGUGGGGAGCAAACAGGAUUAGAAACCCUUGUAGUCC